rfam:Sus scrofa isolate TJ Tabasco breed Duroc chromosome 4, whole genome shotgun sequence.
GGGCGUGGGGAUAUUCUACUGUGGCAUCCAUGACCCCAUGGAUCACCAGGGUUGAUGGGCUGGGAAGGUGUCCCCUCUCUCUCCUGCUGCUCUGUGCAUGCCAUGUCUUGAGUUGCAGGACAGAUGUAGGAGGAGCUGAGAUGGAAAAAGACAACCAUCUUGACCGGGGCGGGGAGGCACGAUCUUCAGUCAGAGUUGAGAGAGUAGUUGUGUUCCCCGCUAAAGUCUCAUCACUUCCCUGGGCCCCAGCUUCCAUAUCUGUUAAGCAGGGAGAUUAGACAGAUGCUGUUUGACUUGCUUGCCCAUGUCU